ensembl:lncRNA
CCUGUGUGCAGCACUUAGUGUGCACGGAGCCACUAAUCACCCACGCAGUGCAGAGAUGCUUCAGCGGAGGGCAUAAUCAAGCAAAUAAAUGACAGAAUGCUUUUUAUUUCAUGUCGACGUGCAAUUUAUGUAUAGUUGACCGGGAAAUUAAAGCAGCGAUCACUUGGACUAUUCCGUAGCACCCCUUUCACAGUGGUACAUCCCUCCAGGUAACCAUUCACCAGUCUUGUACAGUAGAGCGGGACAUUACGUUUACUCUCAGCGGAAUUCACCCGAGAAGGCAUCAGUUCCUGCACUGCACUGGUCUUCACCACGAUUAGUAUAAGGUGGAGUAAUGCACGAAUGGAUAAAAAGGAGUGAGAGGUUAUCAGCUGUUGAGGAGCAAAUGGAGAUCCGUGUCCAGGGGAGUGAGGCUAUUGCGAGUGUGAAAGGUUGUCCAGGAAGUAACUAAGAAGACAUGAACAGAGAGGUGGUGAUCCUCGGUGGAGUGAUGAAGUAGAGCAGCCAGCACCCCAAGUAGAGCAGGCACUGUGGAAAAAUAGUUAGACUCAACCAGACCAUUACAAAGUAUGGCCUGGAGGAUUUUCAUCUCAAGGUGCAAGAACAUUCUUAAUGACUGUACACGGCAGCUGCUGAUGGACGAUGUUGGGCCAGAUGUGCUACAGUUAGCGUUAAGGAGGUUGGAGACAAUGCAGAGAAGCCUUCAGUGGGCAAGAGGAAGACUGAUCAAUGUAACUGCAGCAGAUCAACUUCUGCGUGACUUGGCUGAAUUGAUUCAGGAUGUCGAACUGUCUACUCAGCAUGGGCAACAAGGCUGUUUUGGAUACCAGGCACCAGUGGUUUUCAACAGAGGUAGAGGUAGAUCCCUUUACCUUAUCACUCGGGAACAGCUUUCAUUCCUGAAGUCAUGUGGAUUCACUGCACCUCAGAUGGCUGAUAUUUUGAGUGUUUC